UACGAAGGGGGCUAGCGUUGCUCGGAAUGACUGGGCGUAAAGGGCGCGUAGGCGGUUUGUACAGUCAGGUGUGAAAUCCCCGGGCUCAACCCGGGAACUGCGUCCGAUACUGGCAGGCUUGAAUCCGGGAGAGGGAUGCGGAAUUCCAGGUGUAGCGGUGAAAUGCGUAGAUAUCUGGAGGAACACCGGUGGCGAAGGCGGCAUCCUGGACCGAGAUUGACGCUGAGGCGCGAAAGCCAGGGGAGCAAACGGG
rnacentral:rRNA from 1 species